CAGGCAGCGAUUUGAUAGCAGUGAGAGUUUAGCAUUCGCAACAUUUUUUACUGUUGCGAUGCUGCUAACUGCUUUUGAGUUACUGUCACUAUCGACGACGGAUAACU
rnacentral:pre_miRNA from 1 species